rnacentral:lncRNA from 1 species
AAAUCUCUAAGGUGUAGAGAAUAAAAAAUAAGAGUUGUAAUUGGUGAGGAGUGUUGUUGAAGAAAUAAAAUAGUGUAUUUUUUUGUGUGUUUUAUUUGUUAAUUCUCCAACAAGAAGCUCGUUACGAUCCAUUCGUGAAGGUUCCCAACAAUCCGUUCUUGGAUUAUCAGAGAGGCUCCUACAGAUUUGUGACGAUUCAUUUUCACAACAACUAACAAGGUAUUACUUUGGUUGAUAAAAUAAAAUUGCAUGAUUGAUUUAUAAAAUCAACAUUGGUAUUAGAGCCUAUAUAAGUUAUGUCCUGAACUUGAGUGCAUUACGCAUGCUAAUAUGCCAUGUUCUUUCAUGAAAAUUUGUUUUUCUCGCUCUAAGAACACACAUUAAUGAUAUAUGAUGAAGCACUUACUGUUAAGGCAUGUAAUUCAUAUCAUAAUCACAUGAACAUACAUGGAGUAUAUAUGGAAUUUUAUGUGAUCUAAUAUGCUCUUAUAUUAUAAGUAAUUUGAAACCCUAACUUAUGAAACUGAAUGCCUAUUUUACUCGUAGCUUUUUAUGUGUUAAUUCAUUCUCUGCAAAAUUUGUGUUAUAAGAAAGAUCUUUUAAUUAGAUUUACAAUGGUCUAUCAUAUGCAUGAUUUUGAAUUAUAAAUUGAGAGAUGAAGUAUUUGAAUUUUUGGUUCAAAAUCUAGAAAUUUUGAUAACAUUGAAGAAGAUGAACAAUGGUUUUAUGUGUUAUCCCACUCCCAGGAGGGUGCAUGUAGUUCACACUUCAAUUGAAACAAAAUUCAAAAUACAAAUUUGAAUUCAGAUCGUAAAACUGAGUUGAAAGUUGAAAUUGUGAGAAUGAAGGUGGCCGGAACCGAAGCUUGCCCAACAUGCACUAUGGUGGCACAUUAAGCUGAAGAGAAUGAUCAGCUCUGCAAUAAACCAGCCCGAUUUAGUCAAGCUGACCAAGCCGGAUCAAACUACAAGCCAUUAGCUCACCUUAGCGCGAGUUAGUGCGCCAAGCAUGGCUGCACUGACCCACGUGCCUUAGUCACCUGUAACGCAUGCACUACCUUCCCGACCUCCGAUUGCAGCGUUGUUUGUGGCAGCCAAAUCAGAAUUUAAUUUCCUAUUGAUUUGUGUUUUAAAAUUAAUUUUUUGC